GGCACAAAGAAUACACACACGUAGCACUUCAUUGUGCCUUCUCAUAUCUUUGUUCCCUGUUCGCGCUACAGCUCGCUCAUUUCAACAUAAACAACCAACAAGCCCACAUCGCCACUCAGAUUUGUGCAGUUUCCUUCGAGUCAUAUUUGGGUAAAGUACCACAGACUAUAUUUUAAGUGAAAUAAGUUAUAUUUCCUCGUUUAAUUGGCCAACACUGUAGUUAGGCUCUGGGUAUAUUUUGGCCAGGCAUCAGCGUGCUACAGUCAAAUUCAAACUUGCGAAACUAAAAAGCAAAAAGAAAGGGAACUGUUUCCUCAUGCAUACCGCCGCAAACAGCCUGUUUUCACAACGCGGACGACACCGUGUCAAAGGAAGUUAUGGAAAAGAGACUGAAAGCAGUGCACUGGUACCCCUUGCAGCAAUUGGAUGUUAUAAAUGUGAUUUCCACAUCACACACAUACCAUGACCUGAAGUUUUGGAUGGAAUGGUGAGCAUAUUUAUGCAGUGAGCCAUCUUAAGUGCCGACUGGCAUACUCUAGUGUUCAAGGGCACUGAAUAUAUUCUAAUUAAGACUGCAAGACUGUAAUACAAUCACAGUCAGAAUUCAUCAAUUCAAUAAACAAUACACAUUUGAACAGUGGUCUCCGGUACAAUGGCAUACCGACAAACAGUAGAAUAGGUAGUAGACAGGUAGUAGACUUGUAGGCUUGUAGACCUGUAAACUUGUAUGCCGAUUGGCUAGUAGACCAUCAAGGUCUGAAAUUAGGGUUAGCCAACAGACAUGUAAGCUGAUAGCUGGUUGGAAUUUUUUACUGGAGAUAUUCAUAUAAAAUUCCAGACCCGCCGUAGUGGCUAAGGCGUACGUACGUUGCUCUACUGAACUGAAAGCUCAGGAUUGAAUCCCGGGCGCGGUGGCAUUUAGAUGGAAGUGAAAUGCACUAGAUGCCUGUGUGCCAUAUGCAUUGGGUGCACAUUAAAAACCACAGGGAGUUAAAAUAAUUCGGAAUG